rnacentral:rRNA from 1 species
CCCUUAGAUGUUCUGGGCCGCACGCGUGCUACACUGAGUGGAUCAGCGGGUCAGGUUGCGCGAAAGCGUUUCCUAAUCUUUAAAUCCGCUCGUGAUGGGGAUUGACGGUUGCAAUUUUCUGUCAUGAACGAGGAAUACCUUGUAAGCGCGGGUCAUCAUCCCGCGCUGAAUACGUCCCUGCCCUUUGUACACACCGCCCGUCGCACCUACCGAUUGGAUGGUCCGGUGAAGCCUCGGGAUUGUGGUUCUUGCCGCUUUAUUGUGGCGUGACCGCGAGAACUUGUCUAAACCUUAUCAUCUAGAGGAAGGUGAAGUCGUAACA